rnacentral:misc_RNA from 1 species
ACAAAUGUUUCCCCAACCUCCACGUUUUGUGCACCGUUAUACUUGCCAUGGUGAGCACCUGGGGCGCUGUUGGUUCCAAUCAGCAGCAUUCCCCCAGGGACUUGCCAUGUUUGUCCACGUUGAUCUGCUCUUUAAAGACUGAGACUUUAUUGAAAAAUAAAGA